rnacentral:rRNA from 1 species
AGCGAGCGCUGGCGGCAGGCUUAACACAUGCAAGUCGAACGGUCCUUCGGGAUAGUGGCGGACGGGUGAGUAACACGUGGGAACGUACCCUUAGGUUCGGAACAACACAGGGAGACUUGUGCUAAUACCGGAUAAGCCCUUCGGGGGAAAGAUUUAUCGCCUUUGGAGCGGCCCGCGUCUGAUUAGCUUGUUGGUGAGGUAAUGGCUCACCAAGGCUACGAUCAGUAGCUGGUCUGAGAGGAUGGCCAGCCACACUGGGACUGAGACACGGCCCAGACUCCUACGGGAGGCAGCAGUGGGGAAUCUUGCGCAAUGGGCGAAAGCCUGACGCAGCCAUGCCGCGUGGAUGAUGAAGGUCUUAGGAUUGUAAAAUCCUUUCACCGGACGAAAUGACGGUACCCGGAGAAGAAGCCCCGGCUAACUUCGUGCCAGCCGCCGCGGUAA